UACGUAGGGUGCGAGCGUUAAUCGGAAUUACUGGGCGUAAAGCGUGCGUAGGCGGUUCGUUAAGUUCGUUGUGAAAGCCCCGGGCUCAACCUGGGAACUGCAAUGGAAACUGGCGGGCUUGAGUGUGGCAGAGGGGGGUGGAAUUCCGCGUGUAGCAGUGGAAUGCGUAGAGAUCCGGAAGAACACCGGUGGCGAAGGCGGUUAGCUGGGCAGUAACUGACGCUGAGGAGCGAAAGCGUGGGGAGCGAACAGG
rnacentral:rRNA from 1 species